rnacentral:lncRNA from 1 species
UCUGAAAAUAUUUGAUGAAAAUCUUUCAUAUAUUCUGUGGCUGAACUGUAUGUACUGAACCACAAGAGAGCAGUGUUUUACCAGAUCUGUGCUGUAAUUCUUAAAUUUAAAAGUAAUUUUACUUUGUCAGUGAUAGGUCUAACAGCAAAAUUUAAUCCCUUUAUAUUUUCAUCUUUUAGCAAUUCUCACUAGAUCGUAGAGGCACAUGUUUCUAACUUACUAGUGUUACAAUGAACUAUAUUUAUUGUACUUGGAUUAAUAAAAAGUCAACAUCAGGCUAAUUUCUUCUUAUGCACAAAAUCUGCUACUUCAUUUUCCUCAAUGUUUAACAUCUAGAACAGACAGAAGAUUUUAUGUGGUGAAUUAAAGAGCUUUGUCUAGCAGAAAGCUUUUCCUGAAGAAAUAUCCUUUCAUAUCCCACGUUAAAAAGACUCGGAGAAAAUUUCUGUCUGUGAUGUAGUACAUAAAUAAUGACAAUUGCCUCUGAAUUGAAUGGAUUUUUAUGAAUAACUUUUAGAUUCUACUAGAGAAAAUAUGUUGCUACUUUCUGAUUCAAUAUCAAAGGGACCAUCUGGCAUAAAAGAAUUACAUUUUUCUUUCAGAUGAAAGAUUGUACUCUGCUCCUAUCAGUAUGCACACCCUUUGCUCUUCAUGUGUAAAUAAUGAUUUGAAUGAAUUCAGGUGCAAUCUUAAGACUAAGUAAGAGUAAGUUUGCAGUUUUGGUCAAAGUUCAACCUUCGCUAAUGCUUCUGCAUCACUGUUGAUCUCAUUAGAGUUGCUGCAGUGAAACUUAACACAGCAUUUGUCUCCGGUUUAAAUAAGUUUACCUAUCCUAUAUCACCUUGAACUAUGAAGAACUUGGGAUAUGGUCCAUUGGUCUGCUGCAAGAGACUAAGCUGAAAACAGAAAGAUUUCAUCUUCCUGAAAAUUAGAGCCACCUGCUGUAAUGCAGAGCAAGCCCCUGAGCAACAGCUGCUGGUAAAAAGGAGUACAGAGAAAUACAAAGUAGUGAGAACUGUAGAAAUAUCCUUUAAAAGUUACAAAACCACAGUAUUUGUCAUUGAGGUUGGUUGUCUGUGCUACUACUGUAAUCUUCCCUGCUUCAUGGCAGCAGUAACUGGCCCGGCUUCAGUACUGCUGGCUGGGACUCCGCAUUCAGGCAGUUCGUGAUCAGAAGUGACGAAUGGCAUCAGGCAUGCGCAGAAUGAAGAGGGGGAGAGGGAGAUGAAGGAGAUCCAGAAAGGAACCCAGCAGAACCGUGGGUUUGUUCAUGAGGACCCUUACAGCUUCUGCUUUGCCGUUUCUUCCCUUUCCAUGGUCUUGACAACAGGCUCUUAGCUCCCCGGGGUUUUGCUUGCUGCUGUGAUCAAGACAGAGAUAGCAGUGCUAUAA